rnacentral:lncRNA from 1 species
GUCUUUACAAGGCUCACCUUCAUGUGAUCUGUGCUCUGAGAAACUCAAUGGAGCAGGGUCCUGUCCUACAACCUGGAGUUGGAGGAAGAGUGACCAUCUACAGUGGAGGAACAACAGCUGUGACCACACACCCCUCAGUGUUAUCAGCAGCAACAGAGGCCUGAGGACAACAGAUGUCAAAGGGCAAGCAAUGAAGCAACAUGUCCCAGAGCACAGAUUUGUUACAAGAUGAAUAAUGUGGUAGAAUAUUAAAAAUUAUUCUACAAAGAUUUUCAAAUUGCUGCAGUUGAAGAUUGACUUAAGCGAAAAGUGACAAAGACAAGGAGAAAAGUGACGGAGACUAAGAUGUGCAUCGAUGGGGUAGACGAAAUUGAUGCCAGGAAUGGUCUGGAAGAGAAGGCAAUCUAAUAUUUCAGCCCACUGGCACACGAAUACAAAAUCAGGAAACUGUUGACGAGUAUUGAGCAGCAACCCAGCAACUUAAAUGUAUAACUGAAAAGAAAAGGCAAAGACAUCUGGAGAGUAGAUUGAAACUGCAUUUGUCAAACGAAUAAGAAAGCAUGUUUAUUGAAAGUGACAUGGACCUCCAACGCUACUUCAUUUCUGUGGUAACACAGAGACUUCCAACAAAGUGAAACAGCACCCGUGACUCCACAGCCUCUUGUACUUAUCCAAGCAAACAAUAAAAAAAGCUUUUCCACAAAGUCUGAUUAUUUACAAUUACGAUAUAAAGCAUCACUG